rnacentral:rRNA from 1 species
UACGGGGGGGGCAAGCGUUGUUCGGAAUUACUGGGCGUAAAGGGCUCGUAGGUGGCCAACUAAGUCAGACGUGAAAUCCCUCGGCUUAACCGGGGAACUGCGUCUGAUACUGGAUGGCUUGAGUUUGGGAGAGGGAUGCGGAAUUCCAGGUGUAGCGGUGAAAUGCGCAGAUAUCGGGAAGAACACCCGUGGCGAAGGCGGCUCUCUGGGACGGUACUGACGCUGAGACGCGAAAGCGUGGGGAGCGAACAGG